UACGAAGGGGGCUAGCGUUGCUCGGAAUCACUGGGCGUAAAGGGCGCGCAGGCGGCUCAUUUUGUCAGGCGUGAAAGCCCCGGGCUUAACCUGGGAACUGCGUUUGAUACGGAUGGGCUAGAGUUCGGGAGAGGAGAGUGGAAUUCCCAGUGUAGAGGUGAAAUUCGUAGAUAUUGGGAAGAACACCGGUGGCGAAGGCGGCUCUCUGGGCCUUACCUGACGCUGAGGAGCGAAAGCGUGGGUAGCGAACAGG
rnacentral:rRNA from 1 species